GGCAGAGGUGCCCCAAAUAUUGCCCAGAACCAGGUGGUGUGCUAACUGCUGACUCACUUUUAUGCAUGGCCUUCCCACUCAAAGAACCAAGGCAGAAAAAAAAAAUCAGGAAAUCAAGACAGAUAGCUGUUUUCAGGUUAUUCUUGUGAAUCGCCAGGUAUCUUGCUUCCCUUCCUUGUGGUUUGUCUUUGGGCCCAUCUCCUCUCCCUGCGGUCCCACCCCCUGAAAUGUUAAAGCCAUAGUGAGGGAUUCCAGUGAAGGCAGGGAUCAUCUGUAGUUCCCGCUAGCUACACAGUAGGGACUCCUGUCAUACAAAUAAAAAAAAGUCAACUACACCUUAACAGUUACUGAGCUGACUCUAGCAAUGAAAACGAACAAUGUCAAGAUUAAAGGAGGAAAAAAGUCAAUGGAUGUAUAAGUAUGGUCUUAACCAGAUGUCUUCUGAAGAAUUGAGCCUCUGAGAAAUCGAGGUAUACCUACAUACAGCGUUUCUCUCCCUUGUCCCCCAUAGCUAUUCCCCAAAAGCCAAAUUAGGUUCAGAUGUGUGACUCCUCCUCCCAGCCACAAAAGCUAUGGCCCAGGGGAAACUAAUUUCUAAUAUGGCCUCCUAGGAGGGCCCCAGCCAAGGCCUGGUAAGGCCAUGUUGGGCUCUGCAAUCACCCAGUCUCUCUCUCUCUUUCUCUCUCUCUCACUGACAAGACAGCCUUUGAGAAGAUGAGCUAUAGAAUGUGCCACAGCAGAAAGAGAAAGAAAUCAGCAGAAGAGACAACCAAGAGCAUCAUCAAAGCAAUUUUAUUACCUCUUUUACCAGCCUAUAGGACAACCCAAAGCCUACUGCGCGACUCAAGACAGGAAGUUGCCCGGGCUUCAGAAGACAUUUACCGAGAAGAAAUGUUCCCAGUAAACAUAACAUCCAAGCAGCAUGCCCCGUGAUCCCAGAACAACACAAUAGUGAUUUGUCUGCCACAUUGCCUUCAGGGAAUCAGGAGGAGGAAAUGACCACUCUCUUAUUUUGAAGAAGGUUCAGCACAAGGGCAAAAUCAUCAAAUACAGUGAGACACUGGAUGAUGCUAUAAAAACUAAACAUUUGUCCCAGAAAAGAGCUCCUGUCUGAAAGUCUUGACAUUUGUGGUGACGUCCCAGCCCCCUUUCUCUCGGCAAAUGGUCAGAAAGGAAAGCAAGUUCUUCAAGGAGGGGAAGAGAUGAGAAAGAACAAGGGACUUUGGGGUUGACAUCGCUUGUCUCUGAUUGGCCUUCCAGAGAAUGGAAUUUACUGUUGCCUGCAAUUAGUUCUUCCUUUCUGCUUAACAAUUCUUCUUGCUGCUAGGGACAUUAACUGAGGCAUUGCAUUU
rnacentral:lncRNA from 1 species